UGGGGAAUCUUGCGCAAUGGGCGAAAGCCUGACGCAGCCAUGCCGCGUGGAUGAUGAAGGUCUUAGGAUUGUAAAAUCCUUUCACCGGUGAAGAUAAUGACUGUAGCCGGAGAAGAAGCCCCGGCUAACUUCGUGCCAGCAGCCGCGGUAAUACGAAGGGGGCUAGCGUUGCUCGGAAUUACUGGGCGUAAAGGGAGCGUAGGCGGACAUUUAAGUCAGGGGUGAAAUCCCAGAGCUCAACUCUGGAACUGCCUUUGAUACUGGGUGUCUUGAGUGUGAUAGAGGUAUGUGGAACUCCGAGUGUAGAGGUGAAAUUCGUAGAUAUUCGGAAGAACACCAGUGGCGAAGGCGACAUACUGGAUCAUUACUGACGCUGAGGCUCGAAAGCGUGGGGAGCAAACAGG
rnacentral:rRNA from 1 species